GAUGAAGGAAGGUUCGAUUUGCUUUAGAGAGUGCAUGAAAAGGAGUUGCUGAAGCAUUAGUAGAACCAUUCCCUAAUUUAUCUAGUGUUGUCUUGUGAACCAAUAUUUAUUUAUUUCUUUUUGUUGAGAACCAUUAGUUGCCUGUUAUCCGAGAGACCAUUUGUUAAGACUAUUUCAAAACCAUUAGUUAUGUGUUUAUGUGAUGUUCAUAUAUUUGUUUAUACACUGUCCAUCCAUUUGUUUAUGUGCUAUCCAUAUAUUUGUUUAUGUGCUUAUGUUAUCUGACAACUUGUGUCCUGGCUACCACAAACUUGUGUCUGUAGAUGGACGCCAACAUGAAAGAUUUGGCCAAAAAGGGGCACAAGGGACUACUGCUUCUAGCUGAACUUUUCCAGCAGGCUGGUGUCA
rnacentral:lncRNA from 1 species